CCUACGGGCGGCAGCAGUGAGGAAUAUUGGUCAAUGGGCGUAAGCCUGAACCAGCCAAGUCGCGUGAGGGAUGAAGGUUCUAUGGAUCGUAAACCUCUUUUGUCAGGGAGUAAAGUGCGGGACGUUUCCCGUUUUGUAUGUACCUUAUGAAUAAGGAUCGGCAAACUCCGUGCCAGCAGCCGCGGUAAUUCGGAGGAUCCGAGCGUUAACCGGAUUUAUUGGGUUUAAAGGGUGCGGAGGCGGCAUUUUAAGCCAGCGGGGAAAGUCUGGGGGCUAACCAUGAUAUAGCCGUUGAAACUGGGGGGCUUGAGUGUGUGUGAGGCAGGCGGAAUGCGUGGUGUAGCGGUGAAAUGCUUAGAUAUCACGCAGAACCCCGAUUGCGAAGGCAGCCUGCC
rnacentral:rRNA from 1 species